AUUGAACGCUGGCGGCAGGCCUAACACAUGCAAGUCGAGCGGAUGACGGGAGCUUGCUCCUUGAUUCGGCGGCGGACGGGUGAGUAAUGCCUAGGAAUCUGCCUGGUAGUGGGGGACAACGUUUCGAAAGGAACGCUAAUACCGCAUACGUCCUACGGGAGAAAGCAGGGGACCUUCGGGCCUUGCGCUAUCAGAUGAGCCUAGGUCGGAUUAGCUAGUAGGUGAGGUAAUGGCUCACCUAGGCGACGAUCCGUAACUGGUCUGAGAGGAUGAUCAGUCACACUGGAACUGGGACACGGUCCAGACUCCUACGGGAGGCAGCAGUGGGGAAUAUUGGACAAUGGGCGAAAGCCUGAUCCAGCCAUGCCGCGUGUGUGAAGAAGGUCUUCGGAUUGUAAAGCACUUUAAGUUGGGAGGAAGGGCAGUAAGUUAAUACCUUGCUGUUUUGACGUUACCGACAGAAUAAGCACCGGCUAACUCUGUGCCAGCCGCCGCAGUAA
rnacentral:rRNA from 1 species